CACUCACUGCUUCUUUCUUCCUCCUUCCACUUCUUCCUCCUUCUUCCCCUUUCUUCCUGUUUCUUUUUUUUAAAAUCAAAUAGAAACAAGCGAUAAUCCCCGAUAUCGGAUCUGAUUUUUUUGUAUUCUUUUGUACAGCAACAACAUUUAUAAAUGACUCUAGAUUCUGGUUCUUUACACCAAAGUGGUUGUUGUUGAAGGCCCCCAGCCUCAGGAAGACCCAUAAUAAUAAUAAUGGAAAUCAGAAUUAUUUUCAACCAGCAUAAGGUUCUUUAGGUUUGAUCUAUGGGUUUCUAACUUCUUUAGGCUUGGGAAGGACAAAUUUAUGUCUUCUGAAUGGGAAGGACAGGCUCAUUGAUCAGUCACAUUGUUGAUAUUUUGAGAGAUUUUCCAAUACCUACUGCAGGAAGUUAGCUGUAAUAGAUACUACAAGUAGUCAAAAUCAAGAAACAGAUAAAGUUAACUAUCUUAGGGAGGGAUGACUUUUGGUUA